AAGCAAAGAAACAAAAGAAAAUUAUUUUCAUGAACACAAAAGUAAGUGCAUGUCUAUGAGGCGCCAUAGAGCUUCACUUUUUGUGGAACAAAGUGUUUUUCUACCUGGCAGACCUUUAAAAAAAAAAAAAAAAAAACUUACAUAAAAUUAAACCGAUGACAUUUUCUAUAUCUUUUACACAUGAAAAAAUGGAGUUCUUUCAGACUAAGACAUCACACAUCAGGAAUUUCUGCACUUCUUUCUCCUCUAAACCAAUGGUCAAUACCAAGUAUUAACAAACGUAUACAGGUAUUGAUAUACACUUAGGUCCUCAAAACAUCAAUUACAAGUACUGCCGGUAGUUCUACAAAAUGGCGUGUGUGUGUGUGUGUGUGUGUGUGUGCAAUAAAUCAAAUAAAA